AAUGUUCUAUGCAAUAUCGGUAAAACACAGGCGGGGAUUUCUGACCCCAGCAUCCUCAGACACCAACUACAGCCCCCGUUUCUUUCCACACCUCAAAUUUGUUUUCCUCCUGGCCUGGAGUCACUGUGUGAACACUGAACUUUUCUUUGGAGCAGGCACCAGGCUCACAGUUAUAGAGGACCUCAAAAAGGUGAGCCCUCCCAAGGUCACAGUGUUUGAACCAUCAGAAGCAGAGAUCUCCCGGACCCUGAAGGCCACACUCGUGUGCCUGGCCACAGGCUUCUACCCCGACCACGUGGAGCUGAGCUGGUGGGUGAACGGGAAGGAGGUGCGCGACGGGGUCAGCACGGACCCUGAGCCCUACAAGGAACAGUCCGGCGCGAAUGGCUCCAGCUACUGUCUGAGCAGCCGGCUGAGGGUCUCCGCCACCUUCUGGCACAACCCUCGGAACCACUUCCGCUGCCAGGUCCAGUUCCACGGGCUCGGGAAGGAUGACCAGUGGGACUACCCCGAGGCCAAACCCGUCACCCAGAACGUCAGUGCCGACACCUGGGGCAGAGCAGACUGUGGCUUCACUUCGGCGUCCUACCAGCAGGGGGUCCUGUCGGCCACCAUCCUCUAUGAGAUCCUGCUGGGGAAGGCCACCCUGUAUGCCCUCCUGGUCAGCGUCCUCGUGCUGAUGGCCAAGGUCAAGAGAAAGGAUUCCUGAGGCCAGCUCAGAGGAGGAGUCCUGAGCUUCCAGUCGGCCAUUGCCCCAAUACGGAUCCUCCUUUUCCCACUUAGAGCCAGUGCUUCUGAAGAGCUGUUUUCAUCCCUCUGCUUACCCCAGUAGCUACCCCUUAUGUGCUUGCCCAUGCGGUCGCUCACGACUCAACUUGCCCUAAGCCAGGGGGGCCUCGUGUGAUGAAAUUGACUGAAUCAAUAAAAAUGGCCUGUUCUGGCUUGACUCUGC